rnacentral:rRNA from 1 species
GAUGAACGCUGGCGGCGUGCCUAAUACAUGCAAGUCGAGCGAACAGACGAGGAGCUUGCUCCUCUGACGUUAGCGGCGGACGGGUGAGUAACACGUGGAUAACCUACCUAUAAGACUGGGAUAACUUCGGGAAACCGGAGCUAAUACCGGAUAAUAUAUUGAACCGCAUGGUUCAAUAGUGAAAGACGGUUUUGCUGUCACUUAUAGAUGGAUCCGCGCCGCAUUAGCUAGUUGGUAAGGUAACGGCUUACCAAGGCAACGAUGCGUAGCCGACCUGAGAGGGGGAUCGGCCACACUGGAACUGAGACACGGACCAGACUCCUACGGGAGGCAGCAGUAGGGAAUCUUACGCAAUGGGCGAAAGCCUUACGGAGCAACGCCGCGUGAGUGAUGAAGGUCUUCGGAUCGUAAAACUCUGUUAUUAGGGAAGAACAAAUGUGUAAGUAACUAUGCACGUCUUGACGGUACCUAAUCAGAAAGCCACGGCUAACUACGUG